GCUAAAAUUUCGUUGGCUAUAUUUUCCUCAAACAGUUGUUCUAUCAGAGGCUGAUUCCAUUCUCGCGUAGUAUCGUUGAUCAAAUCAGCUACCAUGGUAGGUUCUUGUUGUUCUGGUUGGCCCUCAAUGAUCCCCUGUAACCAUUUAUCCUGUCUGAUUUUAAUGGAUUUCCCAUCCCCAACUGCCCAUCUUAUAUCGUCUUUGAUUGUGUCUCGAUCCUUCGGGAGGCUCCGCCAGCCCCAUGACGCUCUCUGGCCAUUCUGAGCAGUCCAGACAUCGCCAGAUGGGAAAUAGAUGCCCUUGAAGACUUUGGCCCACAAAGCGUUUGGGGAGUGGUGUAAGCGCCAUGCCUAUUUACCAAGCAUCGCAUCAUUAAUGACGCUAUUCUCCUUUCAAUCGCUCUGCAUAUGGACACUGGCAGUUUAAAAAUCGUCAUUGCAUAGGAUGGGAUGGCUUGCACUACACUCUUGAUCAACACUUCAUUUCUUGCUUUAGUAUUCGCAGUUCCUGAGCCAAGUUCCUCCGUAAGGUUACAGGACAAUGCUUGCUGAAAGACACCCCUGACUUAUUUAAGUUUAUAGCUUGCCCUGUUGCAUGACAAUAUUGAUUCAGCGUAAGUGUUAGGUUCUAACACUCCAUUAGAGUACCUUCUAGGAAGAAGAUAGCAUCAUCUGCGAAUAAUAGGUGAGAUAGUCUGGGACAUGUUCUAGUCAACUGUAUUCCUUGAAGGCUGCCAUCUGUUACUGCUUUUUGAAUCAUCCAUGAUAACACAUUUGAAAUUAGUAUGAACAUAUAGGGUGACAGAGGAUCACCUUGUCUCAGUCCUCUGGAAGGGGUGAAAAAAGGGGUAGGUACACCAUUAAACUUCACACUAAAUGUCACUAUUGUUAUGCAUUGCAUUAUAAGAGCAACCCAUUUCCUUGAAAAAACCCAUUUUUAGCAUACAAUCUCUAACAAAAUCCCAUUCUACCCUGUCGUAUACCUUCUGCAUAUCUAGCUUUAAAACUGCUUGAUGUUUUCUCCUUCGCUUGGUGAUGCGCAUCUGAUGUAAAACUUCUUGCACGAUUAGGAUAUUAUCUUGGAUCUGUAUAUCCUGUACAAAUGCACUUUGCUAUGGUUCUAUUAUCUCUGGCAGCCACUUCUUCAAUCUGUUUGCUAGUAUUUUGGAAAUGAUUUUAUAGCUGAAGUUACAUAAACUGAUUGGUCUGAACUGACUAAUGGAUUCUGGAUUUUUCACUUUAGGGAUCAAUGCUAUAUGAGUUCGAUUAAGCAGUGGGUCCAUAAUAUCUGUGCUGAAGAAAUUCUGCACUAGCUGGAACAGGUCAGAUUUUAAAACUUCCCAUGAAUUCUGGUAAAACAGGCCAUUGAACCUGUCUGGGCCUGAGGCUUUCAAAGCACCCAGCUGAAACACUGCUGCUUGCACCUCCUCCAUCAUGGGGUUUGCCUCCAGCUCUACAUUAAUUCUUUCAUUAAUAGGAGAAUCACAUUGGUUCAGGACUGGCUGGUAAUGUAUGUGCCCUUCUAUUUUGUAUAGAUUGCUGUAGAAAGCUUGAAUGUGAGUUUUGAGUACUUCUGGAUCACGGUACCAUCUGUUGUCUCCCAGUUGCAGCAUUGUUAUAUUAUUUAUGCGUCUCCUCUGGACUGUAGUCGCAUGAAAGAAGUGAGUGUUUUUAUCUCCCCAUUGUAGCCAUUUCACUCGAGAUCUCAAUCCCUAGUAUUGUUCUU